GAUGAACGCUAGCUACAGGCUUAACACAUGCAAGUCGAGGGGCAUCAGGAAGAAAGCUUGCUUUCUUUGCUGGCGACCGGCGCACGGGUGAGUAACACGUAUCCAACCUGCCCUUUACUCGGGGAUAGCCUUUCGAAAGAAAGAUUAAUACCCGAUAGCAUAAUGAUUCCGCAUGGUUUCAUUAUUAAAGGAUUCCGGUAAAGGAUGGGGAUGCGUUCCAUUAGGUUGUUGGUGGGGUAACGGCCCACCAAGCCUUCGAUGGAUAGGGGUUCUGAGAGGAAGGUCCCCCACAUUGGAACUGAGACACGGUCCAAACUCCUACGGGAGGCAGCAGUGAGGAAUAUUGGUCAAUGGGCGCUAGCCUGAACCAGCCAAGUAGCGUGAAGGAUGAAGGCUCUAUGGGUCGUAAACUUCUUUUAUAUAAGAAUAAAGUGCAGUAUGUAUACUGUUUUGUAUGUAUUAUAUGAAUAAGGAUCGGCUAACUCCGUGCCAGCAGCCGCGGUAAUACGGAGGAUCCGAGCGUUAUCCGGAUUUAUUGGGUUUAAAGGGAGCGUAGGUGGACUGGUAAGUCAGUUGUGAAAGUUUGCGGCUCAACCGUAAAAUUGCAGUUGAUACUGUCAGUCUUGAGUACAGUAGAGGUGGGCGGAAUUCGUGGUGUAGCGGUGAAAUGCUUAGAUAUCACGAAGAACUCCGAUUGCGAAGGCAGCUCACUGGACUGCAACUGACACUGAUGCUCGAAAGUGUGGGUAUCAAACAGGAUUAGAUACCCUGGUAGUCCACACAGUAAACGAUGAAUACUCGCUGUUUGCGAUAUACAGUAAGCGGCCAAGCGAAAGCAUUAAGUAUUCCACCUGGGGAGUACGCCGGCAACGGUGAAACUCAAAGGAAUUGACGGGGGCCCGCACAAGCGGAGGAACAUGUGGUUUAAUUCGAUGAUACGCGAGGAACCUUACCCGGGCUUAAAUUGCAGUGGAGUGAUGUGGAAACAUGUCAGUGAGCAAUCACCGCUGUGAAGGUGCUGCAUGGUUGUCGUCAGCUCGUGCCGUGAGGUGUCGGCUUAAGUGCCAUAACGAGCGCAACCCUUAUCUUCAGUUACUAACAGGUCAUGCUGAGGACUCUGGAGAGACUGCCGUCGUAAGAUGUGAGGAAGGUGGGGAUGACGUCAAAUCAGCACGGCCCUUACGUCCGGGGCUACACACGUGUUACAAUGGGGGGUACAGAAGGCAGCUAGCGGGUGACCGUAUGCUAAUCCCAAAAGCCUCUCUCAGUUCGGACCGAAGUCUGCAACCCGACUUCGUGAAAGCUGGAUUCGCUAGUAAUCGCGCAUCAGCCACGGCGCGGUGAAUACGUUUCCCGGGCCCU
rnacentral:rRNA from 1 species